rnacentral:rRNA from 1 species
UACGGGGGGGGUAAGCGUUGUUCGGAAUUAUUGGGCGUAAAGAGCUCGUAGGCGGUUUGUCGCGUCGGCUGUGAAAACCUGGGGCUCAACCCCGGGCCUGCAGCCGAUACGGGCAAACUAGAAUUCGGUAGGGGAGACUGGAAUUCCUGGUGUAGCGGUGAAAUGCGCAGAUAUCAGGAGGAACACCGGUGGCGAAGGCGGGUCUCUGGGCCGAUAUUGACGCUGAGGAGCGAAAGCGUGGGGAGCGAACAGG